UAUCUCCUGUACAAUGUUCCAGCACAAUGUACAAAAACAGAGCUCAUAGCAUUGCACACUGUGCCUGCGCACAGCGUCAACUAGGCCAAGUAAUUGUGGCUGUGCCUGUCUUAGGUUGUCCCAAAGUUUUGCAGGGGGAUCUUACCCGUCAUUAGCGAACCAGUCUUCCAUACUUGCCUAUGUAUUGUAAUCCUUUCCUUCUCAAGGUUUUACCCAUCUAUCUCCUGUACCAUGUUCCAGCACAAUGUGCAAAAACAGAAGUCAUAGUAUUGCACACUGGGCCUGCUCACAGCAUCAAUUAGGCUAAGUAAUCGUGGCUGUGCCUGUCUUAGGUUGUCCCAAAGUUUUGCAGUGGGAUCUUACCCGUCAUUAGCGAACCAGUCUUCCAUACUUGCCUAUCAAAGAUGUUACUCACAUGUCUAUUUUUUGUUCUGUGUUCCUGGACAAUGUGCAAAAACAGAAGUCAUAGUAUUGCACACUGGCCCUCCUUACAGCAUCAACUAGGCCAAGUAAUCGUGGCUGUGCCUGUCUUAGGUUGUCCCAAAGUUUUGCAGGGGGAUCUUACCCGUCAUUAGCGAACCAGUCUUCCAUACUUGCCUAUGUAUUGUAAUCCUUUCCUUCUCAAGGUUUUACCCAUCUAUCUCCUGUACCAUGUUCCAGCACAAUGUACAAAAACAGAGCUCAUAGCGUUGCACAGUGGGCCUCCUUACAGCAUCAACUAGGCCAAGCAAUCGUGGCUGUGCCUGUCUUAGGUUGUCCACAGGUUUUGCAGGGGGAUCUUACCCAUCAUUAGCGAACCGGUCUUCUAUACUUGCCUAUGUAUUGUAACCCUUUCCUUCUCAAGGUUUUACUCAUCUAUCUCCAGUGCCAUGUUUCAGCACAAUGUGCAAAAACAGAGGUCAAAAUGUUGCACACUGGGCCUGCUCACAGCAUCAACUAGGCCAAGUAAUCAUGGCUGUGCCUGUCUUAGGUUGUCCACAGGUUUUGCAGGGGGAACUUACCUGUCAUGAGUGAACCAUUCUUCCAUACUUGCCUAUGUAUUGUAACCCUUUUCUUUUCAAGGUUUUACCCAUCUAUCUCCUGUACCAUGUUCCAGCACAAUGUGCAAAAACAGAGCUCAUAGCAUUGCACACUGUGCCAGCUCACAGUGUCAACUAGGCCAAGCAAUCGUGGCUGUGCCUGUCUUAGGUUGUCCCAAAGUUUUGCAGUGGGAUCUUACCCGUCAUUAGUGAACCAGUCUUCCAUACUUGCCUAUGUAUUGUAACCCUUUUCUUCUCAAGGUUUUACUCAUCUAUCUCCAGUGCCAUGUUUCAGCACAAUGUGCAAAAACAGAGGUCAUAAUGUUGCACACUGGGCCUGCUCACAGUGUCAACUAAGCCAAGCAAUCGUGGCUGUGCCUGUCUUAGGUUGUCCACAGGUUUUGCAGGGGGAACUUACCUGUCAUGAGUGAACCAUUCUUCCAUACUUGCCUAUCAAAGAUUUUACCCACAUACCUAUCUCUUGAUCUGUGUUCCUGCACAAUGUGCAAAAACAGAAGUCAUAGUAUUGCACACUGGGCCUGCUCACAGCGUCAACUAGGCCAAGUAAUCGUGGCUGUGCCUGUCUUAGGUUGUCCCAAAGUUUUGCAGUGGGAUCUUACCCGUCAUUAGCGAACCAGUCUUCCAUACUUGCCUAUGUAUUGUAACCCUUUCCUUCUCAAGGUUUUACUCAUCUAUCUCCAGUGCCAUGUUUCAGCACAAUGUGCAAAAACAGAGGUCAUAAUGUUGCACACUGGGCCUGCUCACAGUGUCAACUAAGCCAAGCAAUCGUGGCUGUGCCUGUCUUAGGUUGUCCACAGGUUUUGCAGGGGGAACUUACCUGUCAUGAGUGAACCAUUCUUCCAUACUUGCCUAUCAAAGAUUUUACCCACAUAUCUAUCUCUUGAUCUGUGUUCCUGCACAAUGUGCAAAAACAGAAGUCAUAGUAUUGCACACUGGGCCUGCUCACAGCGUCAACUAGGCCAAGUAAUCGUGGCUGUGCCUGUCUUAGGUUGUCCCAAAGUUUUGCAGUGGGAUCUUACCCGUCAUUAGCGAACCAGUCUUCCAUACUUGCCUAUGUAUUGUAACCCUUUCCUUCUCAAGGUUUUACUCAUCUAUCUCCAGUGCCAUGUUUCAGCACAAUGUGCAAAAACAGAGGUCAUAAUGUUGCACACUGGGCCUGCUCACAGUGUCAACUAAGCCAAGCAAUCGUGGCUGUGCCUGUCUUAGGUUGUCCACAGGUUUUGCAGGGGGAACUUACCUGUCAUGAGUGAACCAUUCUUCCAUACUUGCCUAUCAAAGAUUUUACCCACAUAUCUAUCUCUUGUUCUGUGUUCCUGCACAAUGUGCAAAAACAGAAGUCAUAGUAUUGCACACUGGGCCUGCUCACAGCGUCAACUAGGCCAAGUAAUCGUGGCUGUGCCUGUCUUAGGUUGUCCCAAAGUUUUGCAGUGGGAUCUUACCCGUCAUUAGCGAACCAGUCUUCCAUACUUGCCUAUGUAUUGUAAUCCUUUCCUUCUCAAGGUUUUACCCAUCUAUCUCCUGUACCAUGUUCCAGCACAAUGUGCAAAAACAGAGCUCAUAGCGUUGCACAGUGGGCCUCCUUACAGCAUCAACUAGGCCAAGCAAUCGUGGCUGUGCCUGUCUUAGGUUGUCCCAAAGUUUUUCAGGGGGAUCUUACCCGUCAUUAGCGAACCAGUCUUCCAUACUUGCCUAUGUAUUGUAAUCCUUUUCUUCUCAAGAUUUUACCCAUCUAUCUCCUGUACCAUGUUCCAGCACAAUGUACAAAAACAGAGCUCAUAGCAUUGCACACUGUGCCAGUUCACAGCAUCAACUAGGCCGAGCAAUCGUGGCUGUGCCUGUCUUAGGUUGUCCCAAAGUUUUGCAGUGGGAUCUUACCCGUCAUUAGCGAACCAGUCUUCCAUACUUGCCUAUGUAUUGUAAUCCUUUCCUUCUCAAGGUUUUACCCAUCUAUCUCCUGUACCAUGUUCCAGCACAAUGUGCAAAAACAGAAGUCAUAGUAUUGCACACUGGGCCUGCUCACAGCAUCAAUUAGGCUAAGUAAUCGUGGCUGUGCCUGUCUUAGGUUGUCCCAAAGUUUUGCAGUGGGAUCUUACCCGUCAUUAGCGAACCAGUCUUCCAUACUUGCCUAUCAAAGAUGUUACUCACAUGUCUAUUUUUUGUUCUGUGUUCCUGGACAAUGUGCAAAAACAGAAGUCAUAGUAUUGCACACUGGCCCUCCUUACAGCAUCAACUAGGCCAAGUAAUCGUGGCUGUGCCUGUCUUAGGUUGUCCCAAAGUUUUGCAGGGGGAUCUUACCCGUCAUUAGCGAACCAGUCUUCCAUACUUGCCUAUGUAUUGUAACCAUUUUCUUUUCAAGGUUUUACUCAUCUAUCUCCAGUGCCAUGUUUCAGCACAAUGUGCAAAAACAGAGCUCAUAGCAUUGCACACUGUGCCUGCUCACAGCAUCAACUAGGCCAAGCAAUUGUGGCUGUGCCUGUCUUAGGUUGUCCCAAGGUUUUGCAGGGGGAACUUACCUUUCAUUAGCCAUCCAAUCUUCCAGACUUGCCUAUCAAAGAUGUUACCCACAUAUCUAUCUCUUGUUAGCCAAAAUUACAUAUCAAGUAAUGUUGGCUCUGCCUGGUUUAGGUUGUCCCAAGGUUCUGUAGGGGGGUCAUUAGAGAACCAGUCUUCCUUACUCAUUUCUCAUGAGUAUUAUUACUGUAUUUUAGACUCUGAGAUGAAAUUGGUUGAGCUUUAUGGAGAAUCUGACUGUGCCUCAUUUGAUCGGUGCAGAAAUCAAUAGUUAUGGGGCUCAGGAUUCUCCUGAAUUUCUUCAUUUUCUUUCAUCAGGGUAAAUACAUAUCAGAUGGAGGCAUGUAUCCGAUUCUGUCAUGCUUCUUCUGUCAUGCUCUAAUAUACAUAUAGUCGUUUAAUUUCAUAUAAUACCAUAUAUUCAGUACAGGGUUCAAACUACCAUCCCUGAAACAAAGCCACUCCUAAAUAAUGAUUGAUGUUAUACAGUGGAUUCAGACCUGGACUGGUAAUGAGGUUGAAAGAACCAAAAUGUGGGUAUGCGACUGAAAUACAAUUCCCCAGCAGGAAUAAGACUUGCUCUACUCAAAAAUGAUGUUGUUUAGUCCUGAUGUAAGAUGUUACUGCAGAUAAUGUAUAUGCUCUAUUACAUACAAACAGCCCUGCUGUUUUCUUAUAUUUGUUAGAUACAACUUGUACUACUACUGCUCCAUGUUUUUCUCUCUGCUUUUUUCUCCUUUAUUGUUUAAUUUUCUGUUUUUUUUUCCUCUUUUUCUCUCUUUUGGUUUUCUUUUUCCUACUUUUACUCUCUUUUGUUAAAUGUUGUUUUCUUAUUAUUUUUGUUUUGAUUUUUAUUUUUCUCUUUAUUGUGUUUUUGACUCCCUGUUUUUUUCCUUUUUGUUUUCUUUUGGUGGUUUCAUAGUGACCACAGGUGACUCCUUGGAAUCAAAGUUUGAUUUAAAUGCUGACUGGACAGCCUAUGUGGUUAGCCAUCCAGCUUCUUUAAGGUCUCAAAAUUAUAAUUCAGCUACACGAAAUUAUGCAUUGAGGUCUGUGAUUUUUUUCAGUUUCAAAGGCUGUGUGCAUACCAUGCUGUGUGGAUCAGUGUCUGUCCCCCAUGUAGAGGCACGAGACAUCUAGGGUACAAUGCAUCUAGGGUGCUAUCAAUUUGUUAUAACUGUUUUUCUAGGUGGUUGAGAUUAAGAUCUUUUUAGCUAUUUGACUUUACCUCAAAAACGGUUUAGGUUAAUGUUAAAUGAAAUAUUUCUUUCUAGCUGCUCUCUUUUUAGUUUACUUGCAGUUUAUGUAAGUGUGUGACUGGAAUAUGUUUGGUAACCUGCAGUGUACACUCACUCAGGAGCGUUUGAGUUAUGUCCUACCUUUGCGCCAAUCUUGGUCUCUUGCUGUUUUGAACACAUCUUUUAACCUGGUCUCUGCUCCAGACGAUAUAAAUCACUCUCUUACCAUCAGGUUUGAUGGACUGCUCCUUCUCAUUGGUCCUGCUGAUGUCAUUGACGGCUCUGGGCCUCCGGAUAUUGAUCCACCAAGUGUGAAGUCUUGAAAUCAGGCCAACAUUUGGAGUCACUUGGUCUUGACUUAUUCCCUCCUUCUCUUUCAUCACUCUUUUCUCUCUUUCUCUCUCCUCCCUCUCCUGUCUCUCUCUCUCCUUCCUCUCCCAGUUCUGUCUUUCCCUGUCCCCUUUCUCUCUCUCUCUUUUUGUCUUCUUCCUUUGCCAUUUCUCUCUUUUCCUCUCCUCCUUUUGCCAUAUUAUUCUCUCACACUCUUCCCAUUUCUCACUCUCUUUUCUUUUUCUUUCCCUGGCUGGUCCAAGAUAGGUCAAAGAAGGGCUUGUCCGAGCUGCAGUCUCCUGCAGAUAUAAUGCAGUGUUCCAUUCUGUUCUGUAAUGAUGUAUCAAAGCCAUAGUGAACAUCAGUGUUCUAUUCCAGCUGUCAGUUCUAUCCUUUAUGAGCACACACAAUCACUUUACUUGCCUAAAGUUACCAUGCCAGCACAGGAAUUUAACUACAAACCCUUUACGCACAAGCAUAUAUUACUAAUGAGUCUGAGCCCUCCAUCAGUAUCAUUCACUCUGCAGCAGUACUGUGGCACAACAUUCUUGGGCCCUGUAUAUAUAGUUGUAUACACAUUUUUUUUUUGGUUUUUAAGUAAAAAGGAGUUAAUAUAACCCCUGCAGCUACUCUGAAGCAUUUUCACACAUAGAAUAAAGGUUUCAAAAAUCUGAAACUGUGUUUUAAUGAGUCUCUGGCUUCUCUGGGAUGAUCUAGUCCAGAUUUGACCGGUCUAAGUAUCAUGAUUUUUGAUCUAGACCUGCUCAGAUGGGGUCUAAAUUUGAAAAAAGCAGUGAAAUCUCCCCUUUUUGUGUUUUCACAAACCAAAUAAAAGUUUCACAAAUUUUUAAGUGGGUUACAGACAGCAUUAAAGCUUUACUCAAGAAGUCAAACACUCUUUCACAACAGCGAAAGGCUAGACUCUCCAUGUUCAUCUUUGUAUG